CCUACGGGCGGCUGCAGUGGGGGAUCAUUCGCAAUGGGCGAAAGCCUGACGAUGCGACGCUGCGUGGAGGAUGAAGGCCCUCGGGUCGUAAACUCCUGUCAUGGGGGGCGAGGCGGAGGCGGUUAACGGCCGCCCGAGUUGACGGUACCCCAAGAGGAAGCCACGGCUAACUCUGUGCCAGCAGCCGCGGUAAUACAGAGGUGGCGAGCGUUGUUCGGAUUUACUGGGCGUAAAGGGCGCGUAGGCGGCCGCGUGUGUGGGGUGUGAAAUCUCCGGGCUCAACCCGGAAAGUGCGCCCCAAACUGCGCGGCUCGAGUGCGGGAGGGGAGAUCGGAAUGCAGGGUGUAGCGGUGAAAUGCGUUGAUAUCCUGCAGAACACCGGUGGCGAAGGCGGAUCUCUGGAACGCAACUGACGCUGAGGCGCGAAAGCGUGGGGAGCAAACAGGCUUAGAUACCCUGGUAGUC
rnacentral:rRNA from 1 species